rnacentral:misc_RNA from 1 species
GCAAACUUGGUCAUUUAGAGGAAGUAAAAGUCGUAACAAGGUUUCCGUAGGUGAACCUGCGGAAGGAUCAUUAACGAAUUGUGGCCCAGUUUGGGCCAGAUUCCCUCUCCAUCCGUGCUCCGUACCAGGUGCCUUGGCGGUUCAAGAGGCCUACCCGCAAACCAAAGAAAGCAAGUCGUUUCCCAAUCCUUCCCUGCCCAGGGAAAGAAAGGGUUGUGGGAUGAUGGCAAGAUUUGGGAGGAAAGGCGGACCGCCGAUGGACUUAUACACGCGUAAAUUUAUUUGUCUGAAUGUGCAGAAAUAAAGAAAAAGUACACAAACUAUGAACAACGGAUCUCUAGGCUCUUGCAUCGAUGAAGAACGCAGC